AAAAGAGUGCAUUUCGGGUAUGGUGAGAAAAAAAAUCCACCACAUUAAUAGUUUGGAAAAGUGGGCUCAUCUUGGUUCGGUAGAAUUUUUGUAGAAUGUGGAGAUAACUUUUAUUUUCUUCUUCUUUGGAACUAGUUGUAUACCCCGGCUUCGCCCGGGGUCGAGACGGAAACUCAAACACAGAUUAUAUGGAAAUCACCAACCGUUGUUUUCGUUCAGGUGUGGCGGUGUUUGGCUACCGGGGUUAUAGAUCCCGAUGAGGUUGGUGUCGUGGGUGGUGGUGAAAGUCGGGCGUUGUUGGCGGUGGUAUUUGGCAACCGGUUUAAGAUCCGGAAGAGGCUGUUUAUGAGCGGCGAUCUUGGCGGUGGUAUUUGGUCAUCCUGAUGAGGGUGGUGUCCGGCGGUGUUGAUCAAACAUUAUGAUCUGUUGGUCAGCGUAAGUGUUGUUGGCGUUGGUGUAUGGCCGCCGGGAUUAUAGAUCUGGAUAAGGUUGGUUUCUGCCGGUGGCAUCCGGCGGCGACGGUUAUUUAUAUUUUUUAUUUGUAUGUUGGUGACUGUGGAGAUGCUACCUUUUUUGUGUGUAUCGAUUUUUAUGUUUUAUUGAUGAAGAGAAAAGUGAUGUCGUCGACUGUUGUUUACCGGCGACGGUUGUUCAGGUGGUGCCGUGGUGGGUUGUAUUGAUGAAGAGAAAAGUGAUGCAGAUGAAGAGAAACAGCAGAAUAGGGUUGGAGAGAGCCUGAAAGAAAGAUAAAAGAAGGAAGAAAACACCCUGAAAGUUGUAGAAGAUAAAAGGGACUAAAAUGUCAAUUAACCUUACCCAACCAAGCCAGUUGAAAGCCAACCAACCCAGUUAUGAGCCGCCACUGUAGUAGUUAAAAUUAGGAUUGUUAUAUACUAAAAAAAUUCUUUUGUUGAAACGGUUCGUUAUUUUAGUAUAUAUGACGUGAAUUGCCGACAGCUUAAUUAGAAAUAAUUUUGUAUUUAAUAUGUUUGUUUAAAAGUA